rnacentral:rRNA from 1 species
UACGAAGGGGGCUAGCGUUGCUCGGAAUCACUGGGCGUAAAGGGUGCGUAGGCGGGUCUUUAAGUCAGGGGUGAAAUCCUGGAGCUCAACUCCAGAACUGCCUUUGAUACUGAAGAUCUUGAGUUCGGGAGAGGUGAGUGGAACUGCGAGUGUAGAGGUGAAAUUCGUAGAUAUUCGCAAGAACACCAGUGGCGAAGGCGGCUCACUGGCCCGAUACUGACGCUGAGGUGCGAAAGCGUGG